UACAGAGGGGGCAAGCGUUGUUCGGAAUUACUGGGCGUAAAGGGCGCGUAGGCGGCCUUCUAAGUCGAACGUGAAAUCCCCGGGCUCAACCCGGGAACUGCGUCCGAUACUGGAAGGCUUGAAUCCGGGAGAGGGAUGCGGAAUUCCAGGUGUAGCGGUGAAAUGCGUAGAGAUGUGGAGGAACACCGAUGGCGAAGGCAGCCCCCUGGGUCAAGAUUGACGCUCAUGCACGAAAGCGUGGGGAGCAAACAGG
rnacentral:rRNA from 1 species